UUUUUGCGGGUUCCGAGCCCGGUGUGGUAGUGGCUGAUUUGUUGGCCGAGUCUUUGGAUAUGCCAUCCCGCAAUGACACGAAACUCACUCACGCACGCAAGGAUAAGGCAGAGAUGCAAGAACAGC
rnacentral:rRNA from 1 species